UAUUAAAAAAAUUCAUCAAUUUGUACUGUUAAAAACUAGUAUGAUUAACGGAAUAAUCAAGUAAUGAUAUUUAAUGAGCCAUGUGGCAUGACGUACAAAAAUCAAUUUUUAACAGUAGAAAUAGAAUGAAUUUUUAACCA
rfam:Gossypium arboreum cultivar AKA8401 contig_127_11, whole genome shotgun sequence.